rnacentral:rRNA from 1 species
CUUUGACCUCAAAUGCAGGUAGGACUACCCGCUGAACUUAAGCAUAUCAAUAAGCGGAGGAAAAGAAACCAACAGGGAUUGCCUCAGUAGCGGCGAGUGAAGCGGCAAAAGCUCAAAUUUGAAAUCUGGCGUCUUUGGCGUCCGAGUUGUAAUUUGAAGAAGGUAUCUUUGGGCCCGGCUCUUGUCUAUGUUCCUUGGAACAGGACGUCACAGAGGGUGAGAAUCCCGUGCGAUGAGAUGACCCGGGUCUGUGUAAAGUUCCUUCGACGAGUCGAGUUGUUGG